AGUGAACGCUGGCGGUAGGCCUAACACAUGCAAGUCGAACGGCAGCACAGUAAGAGUUUGCUCUUACGGGUGGCGAGUGACGGCCGGGUGAGGCAUACAUCGGAAUCUACUUUUUCGUGGGGGAUCACGAAGGGAAACUUACGCUAAUACCGCAUCCGCCCUACGGGUGACAGCAGGGGACCUUCGGACCUCGCGCGAUUGAAUGCGCCGAUGUCGGAUUAGCGAGUUGGCGGGGUAAAGGCCCCCCAAGGCGACGAUCCGUAGCUGGCCUGAGAGGAUGAUCAGCCACACUGGAACUAAGACCCGGUCCAGACUCCUAGGGGAGGCACCAGUGGGGAAUAUUGGACAAUGGGCGCAAGCCUGAUCCAGCCAUACCGCGUGAGUGAAGAAGGCCUUCGGGGUGUAAAGCCCUUUUGUUGGGAAAGAAAAGCAGCAGCUUAAUACCCCGCUGUUCUGACGGUACCCAAAGAAUAAGCACCGGCUAACUUCGUG
rnacentral:rRNA from 1 species